rnacentral:lncRNA from 1 species
AGAGCCCGGCUAGUAGCCAGCGAGGACGCGCGUCGCCUUCCCGCCGCCCUCCUCCCAGGAGAGCCCAGCCUGAGCCGGCACCUGCUUCACCACCAUGUUCAAGGGGCUGAGCAAAGGCUCCCAGGGGAAGGGGUCCCCCAAGGGCUCCCCAGCCAAGGGGUCCCCUAAGGGCUCCCCCAACAAGCACAAUCGGUGAGUGGGGCCCUGGGUAGCGGUGCUGGGAUCAGGGUGGUGCAGGGCCCAGGUAUGUUCCAACUACCUGUUGGCGGCAGAGCUCAGUUCUGGCAUUUGGUGUCCUUAGGCUAAGGGCCCAAGGGCCUCUCUCCUGCCUGUGGCCCAGGUUGAGCAAGGGAUGGAUAGCCUGCUGCCACCCACAUUCUCCUGCGGAUGAGGGAUGUUGGGGGGCACAGGGGAAGGGUGCCCUUUCAGAGGUGCGGGACGGGAUGGCUGGGACCAGCAGAAUCUGGCUCCCUGUUUUGGCACGCAACCCUGAUGGUGCACUUGGGUUGGCUAAAUCUUGGAGUGAGUGUGGAUUCAGGGUGGGCAGGAGUAAGAGGCUCAAGAGAGAGAGGGCUUUCUGAGCUGGAGUACACCCCACCUAAACCACUUUCCCCCCAGGUCCCAACCCUGGGUCUUGUCUGUCUCCUUCAAGAGUCAGGAGGCCUUUCUCAUGGGGGUGACAGGAGGUGGUGGUGCCAUGCUCUGAUCAGUGGCUCUCUGCAGAGAGAACUGACCACGUUCAUCCCACUCACUGGCCCCAAGCCCUCUCUAGGAGAUGGCAGCCUGCCUGGAUUCAGGUGUCGGUCGGGGUGCAGAGGUGUCAAGAUAAGAGUGUAGAUGAAAGGCAAAGAUCCAGGUACCCAUUACCUCGACAGUGAUCAGGGUGCCAACCCAGAGGCUGGGCAUCUGGGCCAACAGGAAAGACAGUGCUUAAGACUCUCACUGCAGUGACCUGUCUCCCUGAGGCACUGCGCCCAGCCCAGGGUGGGGUGCAUAGCUCCCAGCAGAAGCAUCUCUGUCAGGAGGCCCAACCUGAGGCUGGGCUCUCCCUGGAGUCCCAGAAGCGUCCUGGUCCCAGUCCCAGACUCCUGUAACUUCAUUCACACGUCCUGCUGAGGGCUCCUUGUUCCCCUCAGAGGUGUCAACUCCUUGAGCUCUUCUUUAUGCCCAGACUGCCCUAGCCUCUGGGAAUGCCCUAGCCAGCAAAACACUGGCAUCCCUACCUUGAAAGUGCUCGCUUCCGUACAAUAAAAAUUAACACGUUGCCUUUAAUCUCAGCACUCCAGACAGAGGCAGAGACUAGCGGAUCUGUGUGUUGGAGGCUAGGCCAGCUAGGGCCACACAGUGAGAUUGGGGCCUGGAGAGAUGGCUUAAUGGCUAAGAGCACUGGCUAUUCCAGAGGACCUCUGAUCAAUUCCCAGCUUCUACAUUCAUCUUCAGGUCCAGGGAAUCCUGUUCUGGUCUCCACAGGCAUCAGACGCACACAUGAUACACAGACAUACAUUUAGGCAAAACAUCCGUACACAUAAAAAUAAAAUGAUACAUACUGGGUGCUGACUCCAAGGCACUGAGCUGGCUGCUUCCCAUGGCUUAAUUCUUUAAGUACCUAGGAGACCUUUGUGCUCAGCGCCAGACAUGGUGGCACAGGCCAACUUUAAUCCUAGCACUCAAGGCUCAGGCAGGCAAUCUCUAUGAAUUUGAGGCUAGCCUGGGCUAUAUAGUGAGUCUGAGCUAGCCAAGGGUACAUAGUGAGAGCCUGUCUCAUAGAAGCAGAACAAAACCUGUGCUGAAGAUAUUAAAGAACCCAUGUCCCACACCAGUAAUCCAGAACUUGGUAGUCCAGCCUGGACAACACAGUAUGUUCCAGGCCAGCCUGGGAUAUAGAAUAAGACUUAGUUGUUGUGGGUUCUUGUUGUUUGGGGGAGGGGAAGAGUAUUUUUUAUUUUGUUUGUUUGUUUGUUUGUUUGAGACAGGGUUUCUCUGUGUAGAACUCACUCUGUAGACCAGGCUGGCCUCAAACUCACAGAAAUGCUCCUGCCUCUGCCUCCCGAGUGCUGGGAUAAAAGGCGGGGGCGCCACCACUGCCCUACUGUUGUUUGUCUUUUUAAGGU